rnacentral:lncRNA from 1 species
GUCUUUCGCUCCAGGUAGAGCUUGGGGUUAGUACAUCACUGGCCUGCGUGCUCCGCUCCAGGAGGUCUCGGUGAUUCUGCCACAGCCUCAUCCUCCGUCGCCCUGUGACCUACUGGUAUUGGAACAUUCAUAGCUAAGACUCCAGGACACCCACAAAGCCGAGAAAUGCUGAGUUUGCGGGUCAGGGCGUCCGGAGACUGGGGAGGCCUCAUCGGAGUCGGCCGGAAAUGGCGGUGGCGGGACCGAGUCUGUGAGCCUGAGCCCCCCUCAGCUCAGCCCUCAGUCUCCUCUGGUGCAGGGUACCCAGGCGUCCUGUACCGUUUCAGCACAGCGGCUUUGGCCCCAGCCUGUAGCCCUCUUUGCGCAGCUCUGCGCCCGCAUCUUCCCCAGCUUGUGAGGUGAUGAGGAGAGGUUCACCAGGGAAAGACGCCGACUUGGUGUGCAGGGCUUCUGCGUGGAAGGAGCUCUGGUCUGUGGGGUCACCAGUCCCUACUUUAACCUAUUCAGACAUAAACGGAGGCACCAUUAAAACAUUAAAGAAUUUAUAUGAGCAAACAGUGAUGAACCAGUGGGACAGCCCCAGACAUGGUUUGUCGUUUGGGGGCUACCAGCGGGUCUUGAAGAAAAGGCUUUAAGGUUUGUGAAGAGGCAAAGCAAACUAAAUAAUUGAUUGGGUACAGUUAUGUAGUCGUUUCAUUUAGAGUGUCCAGGAGAAAAUUUUCUGGUUAUGUAAUCAGAUUAAUUGGAGAUUUAUGGUUGGUUAAGCCUGAAUUUUGUUUUCUCCUAAGGUAGUAACUUACGAGAUACGCAUUUGAGUUAGAUCGUUUUGUUGCUGUUACACAGGAACCUAGAUCCCUAGAGCCACUUCAGUCUACCUGCUAUUUAAUUAUUUUAACUUUAAUCAGAAGCACUGUUUAGGCAGCUGAGGCUUGCCCUGUGGAGCAUCCCUGCGGGGGACUCUGGCCAGCUUGAGCAACAUGGAUCCUGAGAGCGCUCCCAGAUAGGCAUUUGCCCUGGUGGAAUGCCUUGUUAGAGCGGUGCACAGCAGGCCCCUGCGGAGGAUCAACGCAGUGGCUGAACACCAGGAAGGAACUGGCACUUGGAGUCCAGACAUCUGAAACUUGGUAAGACUGGUCUUUGGAACUUGCCCACUCCAUUUGAGUGGAAGCAUGGCCUGAUCACCCACGACGUGCCUGUACCGGCACUUUGGUUUUUGUUUUUGACUUGACUUGGAUUGCUCGAUACUUUGGUUUUGGUUUUGACCUGGCUUGGAUUUCUUGAUACUCUGAUUUUUGUUUUGGUUCUGAUUUGGUGUAAACUGUGAAAGUGUGUGUGUGCCCUUUUUACCCGUUCUUUGUUUUGUGGUGUGCGUGUGGUGUGAGCGUGGUGUUUUGUCUUGAGGAAGCAUGGGUCAAGCACAAAGUAAGCCCACCCCACCAGGAACUAUGUUGAAAAUUUCAAGAUUUAAGGGAGACUAUGGAGUACUAUGACACCAGGAAAACUUAAAACUUUGUGUAAGAUAGACUGAACAGCAUUAGAGGUGGGUUGGCCACCAGAAGGAAGCCUGGACAGGUCCCUUGUUUCAAAGGUAUGGCACAAGGUAACCUGUAAUCCAGGGCACACUGACCAGUUCCUGUAUAUAGACACUUGGUUACAGCUGGUUUUAGACUGCCCCCCACAGUGGUUGAGAGAACAGCAGCAUAAGCGGCUGGCAGAGGCAAGGAAAGACCAGCAGAGAGAGAGAGGAAGAGACAGACAAAGAGGGAGUCAAGAAGAGAGAGAGAGAGAGACAGAAAGUGAAAGAGAGAAAGAAAGAGGGAAAUAUACAAGUAGUUAAGAAAAAAAAAGUGUACCCUAUUCUUUUAAAAGCCAGCGUAAAUUUAAAACCUGUAAUUGAUAAUUGGAGGUCUUUUCCGUGACCCUACAACACUCCAAUACAACCUUGUUGUAAGUGUAAGCAAGGGUGAAGCCCAAAAGCACUGAGGCCACUGACAACCUGUAGCCUUCGUAUCAAAAAUUCUUAACUGAGUAAUCUGUGGAUGGCCCAAAUGCAUUCAAUCUGUAGCAGCAACUGCUUUGUUAACAGAAGAAAGUAGAAAAAUAACUUUUAGAGGAAACCUCAUUGUGAGCACACCUCACCAGUUCAGAAAUAUCCUAAGGGAAAAAAAAAAAAAGAUGAUUUAACAUUAGCCACUGAAAAUUCCCUUAACCUAGCAGGUUUCCUAACAGGGGGUCUAAAUCUUAAUUACCAUACAAAGGUCUGACCAGACCUAGGAGGAACUCCCUUUAGGAUGGGAUGAUAGAAGGAAAAAAAAGAAGCCAUCUAUACCAAUUCUAAGUUAAUUUGGACUAAACAAGGUCUUAUUAAUAGCAAAGGAUAAUUGAAAUCCAAAACUUACAAGGUUUUCAACAAAAGUAAAGUUUGCUAAAAGUUAACAGUGUAACAUGUAUUAUAGUAACUUCUAAUCUUGUGGCCUUAGACAGUCUAGUCCACAGACAUAAAGGAAGUUCACUUUGGAAAAGAAUGGUUAUCAUCUUUGGGAAAAAAAGGGGAAAGAAGGUGAGGGAGCAGAAUUUAUGUAAAAAGAAUGUUAUAUGGUAAAUUCUUGUCCUGAAAUAAAUUAACUGGUUGUUUAAAGAAAGAAAUGUUUGUAAUAAGUCAGAAAGUUGAGGCCUGUAGAAGAAUUGUCUGUGAAAGUCGUGAAAGAAAAAAAGUUAUAAAAAAAAAUUUAUGCAAGAAAUGUUGUAUAAUUUAAAAGUAACUAGGCCUCCUGAAUGUAAAACUAUUGAAAAAAACAGUUUAUAUGCAAGGUGUAUAAACAAAGUAAAAUAUAACUUUGGUAAAAGGAUUAUAAGGAGGCAUAAGAAUGUAAAUUUUUACCUACAUUAAAAGGUUAAAAAAAAUUGUUUUGAAGGUUUAAGCAAGUUUUAAAACAUUAAUUUUAAAGAAAAUUCUGUGUGUAAACAUAUUAGCUAAAGUUAAAGGGGUAUCAUCCAGUUGUUCUGUGAACUGGACGUUAAAGUAAAAACACAAUGAGUUUUUCUUAAAGCGCUAACAUGCUCUUUUACAAAGAUUAUAAAAGGUUAAAAACAGUCUAUAAAAAUCUUACCUUGGCCGGGCGCGGUGGCUCACGCCUGUAAUCCCAGCACUUUGGGAGGCCGAGGCGGGC